rnacentral:lncRNA from 1 species
ACUUGGAUGAACUUCCAUCACCAAGUGAAAUGGUCGAAAUCAUUAUUGACCGAUUCGGCAGCAAAGCUGCCUAUAAUGCCAUCAAACCCAAUGUCCCCAGGGCUAAUUUACGGCACUUGAGGGCUUGGUUAACCCGAGCGCAACACUCGGCGGAGCAGGAUGGGAAGGGAAACAUGAGUAUAAAAAAUCAUAUUUCUUCAAUAAUUGAAGGAUAUUUCAAGUAGAAGAGCUGACGUAUUGUUUCACAUUUGAAUUUCUCUUACAUUCGUCGAAAUCAUUAUUGACCGAUUCGGCAGCAAAGCUGCCUAUAAUGCCAUCAAACCCAAUGUCCCCAGGGCUAAUUUACGGCACUUGAGGGCUUGGUUAACCCGAGCGCAACACUCCGCGGAGCAGGAUGGGAAGGGAAAUAUGAGUAUAAAAAAUCAUAUUUCUUCAAUAAUUGAAGGAUAUUUCAAGUAGAAGAGCUGACUUAUUGUUUCACAUUUGAAUUUC